AUGGCCAAGCUGUUUACUGCCCCAGAAGAUGCCCAGGAUGCCCAAAGAGAUGUCCAAGUUGCUGCCCAAGGAGAUGCCCAAGGAGAUGGCCAGGAUGCCCAAGGAGAUGCCCAAGGAAUUACCCAAGGAGUUACCCAAGGAGAUACCCAAGGAACUGGCCAAGGAGAUGCCCAAGGAGACACCCAAGGAGAUGCCCAAGUUGUUGCCCGAGGAGAUUCCCAAAGAGAUGCCCAAGGAUGCCCAAGGAGUUGCCCCAUAAUUGCCCAAGGAGAUGGCCAAGCUGUUUACUGCCCCAGAAGAUGCCCAGGAUGCCCAAAGAGAUGUCCAAGUUGCUGCCCAAGGAGAUGCCCAAGGAGUUGCCCAGGAUGCCCAAGGAGUUGCCCGAGGAGAUGCCUAAGGAAUUGCCCAAGGAGAUAUUCAAGUUGUUGCCCAAGGAGAUGCCCAAGGAGACACCCAAGAAGAUGCCCAGGAAAUACCCAAGUUGUUGGUUGUCCAAGGAGAUGCCUGAGGAUGCCCAAGGAGUUGCCCCAGGAAUUGCCCAAGGAGCAGUCCAAGUUGUUGCCCAAGGAGAUGCCCAAGGAGUUGCCCAAGGAGUUGCCCAAGCUGUCUGUUGCCCAAGGAGAUGCCCAGGAUGCCCAAGGAGAUGUCCAAGGAAUUACCCAAGGAGUUACCCAAGGAGAUACCCAAGGAACUGGCCAAGGAGAUGCCCAAGGAGACACCCAAGGAGAUGCCCAAGUUGUUGCCCGAGGAGAUUCCCAAAGAGAUGCCCAAGAAGUUGCCCCAGUAAUUGCCCAAGGAGAUGGCCAAGCUGUUUACUGCCCCAGAAGAUGCCCAGGAUGCCCAAAGAGAUGUCCAAGUUGCUGCCCAAGGAGAUGCCCAAGGAGAUGGCCAGGAUGCCCAAGGAGAUGCCCAAGGAAUUACCCAAGGAGUUACCCAAGGAGAUACCCAAGGAACUGGCCAAGGAGAUGCCCAAGGAGACACCCAAGGAGAUGCCCAAGUUGUUGCCCGAGGAGAUUCCCAAAGAGAUGCCCAAGGAUGCCCAAGGAGUUGCCCCAUAAUUGCCCAAGGAGAUGGCCAAGCUGUUUACUGCCCCAGAAGAUGCCCAGGAUGCCCAAAGAGAUGUCCAAGUUGCUGCCCAAGGAGAUGCCCAAGGAGUUGCCCAGGAUGCCCAAGGAGAUGCCCAAGGAGUUGCCCAAGUAG
rnacentral:lncRNA from 1 species